GACUUCUUGCAUAAACUCACACCCACGUUCGUCAUCUCAUGAGAUUCCCUAUAAAUGCAGGCUGAAAACACACCGUAGACACAAGCCCUUUGGAUUUCUGCACCAGGAAAAUACUUCAUCUACUGCAGCGGUCAUCAUCAACACAACAUGUCUGACCCCCAGGCAAGCGACGUAACGAAGCCAGAGGACAAACCAACCCCGGAUGGGAAGCAGGAAGAAGGACAAGGAAAGGGGAAACAUGGAAAAGGUGGUCGUGGUGGUGAACAUGGAGGUGGCCAAGGAGGCGGUCAUGGUCAUGGUCAUGAUCGCGGCGAUCGCGGUGGUCGUGGAGGUCGAGGAGGUCGCGGUGGUCACGAAUGAUGAAGGAAUAUUUCAAACGCCGUUCUGUAGUAAAGACUGAAAUGCAUCUUCAAUAAACGAAUCUAUAGGAAAGAAA